rnacentral:rRNA from 1 species
UACGGAGGGUGCAAGCGUUAUCCGGAUUCACUGGGUUUAAAGGGUGCGUAGGUGGGCAGGUAAGUCAGUGGUGAAAUCCUAUAGCUUAACUACAGAACUGCCAUUGAUACUAUCUGUCUUGAAUACCCUGGAGGUGAGCGGAAUAUGUCAUGUAGCGGUGAAAUGCUUAGAUAUGACAUAGAACACCCAUUGCGAAGGCAGCUCACUACGGGAAUAUUGACGCUGAGGCACGAAAGCGUGGGGAUCAAACAGG